rnacentral:lncRNA from 8 species
GUCUCUGUGUUACCUCAUAAAGAAAAGACUACACCUCACCCUAACCCCAUCAGCUACAGACAUCUAUACCAGACUACACCUCACCCCAUCAGCUACAGACAUCUAUACCAGACUACACCUCACCCCAUCAGCUACAGACAUCUAUACCAGACUACACCUCACCCCAUCAACUACAGACAUCUAUACCAGACUACACCUCACCCCAUCAGCUACAGACAUCUAUACCAGACUACACCUCACCCCAUCAGCUACAGACAUCUAUACCAGACUACACCUCACCCUAUCAGCUACAGACAUCUAUACCAGACUACACCUCACCCCAUCAGCUACAGACAUCUAUACCAGACUACACCUCAACCCAUCAGCUACAGACAUCUAUACCAGACUACACCUCACCCCAUCAGCUACAGACAUCUAUACCAGACUACACCUCACCCCAUCAGCUACAGACAUCUAUACCAGACUACACCUCACCCCAUCAGCUACAGACAUCUAUACCAGACUACACCUCACCCCAUCAGCUACAGACAUCUAUACCAGACUACACCUCACCCUAUCAGCUACAGACAUCUAUACCAGACUACACCUCACCCCAUCAGCUACAGACAUCUAUACCAGACUACACCUCACCCCAUCAGCUACAGACAUCUAUACCAGACUACACCUCACCCCAUCAGCUACAGACAUCUAUACCAGACUACACCUCACCCCAUCAGCUACAGACAUCUAUACCAGACUACACCUCACCCCAUCAGCUACAGACAUCUAUACCAGACUACACCUCACCCUAUCAGCUACAGACAUCUAUACCAGACUACACCUCACCCUAACCCCAUCAGCUACAGACAACUAUACCAGACUACACCUCACCCCAUCAGCUACAGACAUCUAUACCAGACUACACCUCACCCCAUCAGCUACAGACAUCUAUACCAGACUACACCUCACCCCAUCAGCUACAGACAUCUAUACCAGACUAUACCAGGUUUAGCCAAGAAUGACCUGGAGGAACCUGGUGGCUACAAUGGAGUGUUGGUGAAAUGGGCUUGUGGUGGUUCGGUGUGGCGGCUCACAGCUAGGGCCUUCAGACCGUGGGACAGCCCUGCGUGUGGGUGGGCAGCCACAUGGGCCCGACACGCCCGAACUUACGGGGUUUGAGCCCUUGGCCCUGUCCCAUUCACGCUGGGCUCCCCUAAAUUCACUUGGCAGGAUUGACUCUGCUAUAGGGAGCCUCGGACCAGAACCUUGGAAGCCAUUACAGAUACCCAAGAUGGAACGACAAACAGGAGUCGCCCCCUCUUGAGGAUUGCCUCUUCCGGUAAUUCUGGUCUAACCUUAACCCCAAUCCCUAACUUCAUUAAAAUGGUACCCGCAAAACACCAGUCUCAACGUCAACAGUGAAGAGGCGACUCCGGGAUGCUGGCCUUCUAGGCAGAUUUGCAAAGAAAAAACCAUAUCUCAGACUGGCCAAUAAAAAGAAAAGAUUAAGAUGGGCAAAAGAACACAAACACUGGACAGAGGAACUCUGCCUAGAAGGCCAGCAUCCCGGAGUAGCCUCUUCACUGUUGACGUUGAGACUGGUGUUUUGUGGGUACUAUUUAAUAAAUCUGCCAGUUGAGAACUUGUGAGGCGUCUGUUUCUCAAACUAGACACUCUAAUGUACUUCUCCUCUUGCUCAGUUGUGCACUCUUUCUAUUCUGGUUAGAGCCAGUUUGCACUGUUCUGUGAAGGGAGUAGUACACAGCGUUUUAUGAGAUCUUCAGUUUCUUUGCAAUUUCUCGCAUGGAAUAGCCUUCAUUUCUCAGAACAAGAAUAGACUGAUGAGUUUCAGAAGAAAGUCCUUUGUUUCUGGACAUUUUGAGCCUGUAAUCAAACCCACAAAUGCUGACGCUCCAGAUACUCAACUAGUCUAAAGAAGGCCAGAUUUAUUGCUUCUUUAAUCAGGACAACAGUUUUCAGCUGUGCUAACAUAAUUGCAAAAGGGCUUUCUAAUGAUCAACUAGUCUUUUAAAAUGACAAACUUGGAUUAGCUAACACAACGUGCCAUUGGAACACAGGAGUGAUGGUUGCUGAUAAUGGGCCUCGGUACGCCUAUGUAGAUAUUCCAUAAAAAAUCUGCCGUUUCCAGCUACAAUAGUCAUUUACAACAUUAAUUAGGGCUAGGGGGCAGUAUUUGCACGGCUGGAUAAAAAAAUUUACCCGAUUUAAUCUGGUUACUAAUCCUACCCAGUAACUAGAAUAUGCAUAUACUUAUUAUAUAUGGAUAGAAAACACUCUAACGUUUCUAAAACUGUUUGAAUGGUGUCUGUGAGUAUAACAGAACUCAUUUGGCAGGCAAAACCCUGAGACAUUUUCUGACAGGAAGUGGAUACCUGAUGUGUUGUAUUACCUUUAAACCUAUGCCAUUGAAAAACACAGGGGCUGAGGAAUAUUUUGGCACUUCCUAUUGCUUCCACUAGAUGUCACCAGCCUUUACAAAGUGUUUUGAGUCUUCUGGAUGGAGAUCUGACCGAACAAGAGCCAUGGAACGAUGAUGGCCCAUUAGACACCUGGCGCGCGAGUUCAUGUUGGGUACCCUCGUUCCAAUACAUUAUAAAAGAGUAUGCAUUCGUCCACCUUGAAUAUUAUUCAUGUUCUGGUUAAAAAAGGCCCUAAUGAUUUAUGCUAUACAACGUUUGACAUGUUUGAACGAACGUAAAUAUAUUUUUUCCCCUCGUUCAUGACGAGAAGUCCGGCUGGCUUAGAUCAUGUGCUAACAAGACGGAGAUUUUUGGACAUAAAUGAUUAGCUUUUUUGAACAAAACUACAUUCGUUAUGGACCUGUGAUACCUGGAAGUGACAUCUGAUGAAGAGAAUCAAAGGUAAUGGAUUAUUUACAUAGUAUUUUCGAUUUUAGAUCUCCCCAACAUGACGUCUAGUCUGUAUCGCAACGCGUAUUUUUCUGGGCGCAGUGCUCAGAUUAUUGCAAAGUGUGAUUUCCCAGUAAGGUUAUUUUUAAAUCUGGCAAGUUGAUUGCGUUCAAGAGAUGUAAAUCUAUAAUUCUUUAAAUGACAAUAUAAUAUUUUACCAAUGUUUUCUAAUUUUAAUUAUUUAAUUUGUGGUGUUGACUUGACUGCCGGUUAUUGGAGGGAAACGAUUUCCUCAACAUCAAUGCCAUAGUAAAACGCUGUUUUUGGAUAUAAAUAUGAACUUGAUAGUACUAAAAAUGCAUGCAUGUCUAACAUAAUGUCCUAGGAGUGUCAUCUGAUGGAGAUUGUAAAAGGUUAGUGCAUCAUUUUAGCUGGUUUUAUGGUUUUGGUGACCCUGUCUUUGAAUUGACAAAACAUUACACACAACUCUUGUAAAUGUACUGUCCUAACAUACUCUAAAUUUAUGCUUUCGCCGUAAAACCUUUUUGAAAUCGUAAAACGUGGUUAGAUUAAGGAGAUGUUUAUCUUUCAAAGGGUGUAAAAUAGUUGUAUGUUUGAAAAAUUUGAAUUUUGACAUUUAUUUGGAUUCAAAUUUGCCGCUCUUGAAAUGCACCUGCUGUUGAUGGAGUGCACCACGGGGGGGACGCUAGCGUCCCACCUAGCCCAUAGAGGUUAACAAUGUCUACACUGUAUUUCUGAUCAAUUUGAUGUUAUUUUAAUGGACAAAAAAAUUACUUUUAUUUCAAAAACAAGGAAAAUUCUAAGUGACUCCAAACUUUGAACUGUAGUGUAUACAGUGCCUUGUAAAAGUAUUCACCCCCUUGGUGUUUUUCCUAUUUUGUUGCAUUACAACCUGUAAUUUAAAUGGAUUUUUAUUUGGAUGUCAUGUAAUGGACAUACACAAAAUAUGCCAUAUUGCUGAAGUGAAAAGAAAAAAUAACUUAAAAAAAAAAAAACGGAAAAGUGGUGCGUAUGUAUUCACCCCUUUGCUAUGAAGCCCCUAAAUAAGAUCUGACACAACCAAUUACCUUCAGAAGUCACAUAAUUAAUUAAAUAAAGUCCACCUGUGUGCAAUCUAAGUGUCACAUGAUCUGUCACAUGAUCUUAGUAUAUAUACACCUGUCUGAAAGGCCCCAGAGUCUGCAACACCACCAAGCAAGCGGCACUAUGAAGUUCAAGGAGCUCUCCAAACAGGUCAGGGACAAAGUUCUGGAGAAGUACAGAUCAGGGUUGAGUUAUAAAAAUAUAUCAGAAACGUUGAACAUCCCAAGGAGCACCAUUAAAUCCAUUAUUAAAAAAUGGAAAGAAUAUGGCACCACAACAAACCUGCCAAGAGAGGGCCGCCCACCAAAACUCAUGGAUCAGGCAAGGAGGGAAUUAAUCAGAGAGGCAACAAAGAGACCAAAGAUAACCCUGAAGGAGCUGCAAAACUCCACAGCGGAGAUUGGAGUAUCUGUCCAUAGGACCACUAUAAGUCGUAUACUCCACAGAGCUGGGCUUUAUGGAAGAGUGUCCAGAAAAAAAUAAGCAAACAUGUUUGGUGUUCGCCAAAAGGCAUGUGGGAGACUCCCCAAACAUAUGGAAGAAGGUACACUGGUCAGAUGAGACUAAAAUUGAGCUUUUUGGCCAUCAAGGAAAACUCUAUCUCUGGUGCAAACCCAACACCUCUCAUAGGCAGGGACUGGGAAACUGGUCAGAAUUGAAGGAAUGAUGGAUGGCACUAAAUACAAGGAAAUUCUUGAGGGAAACCUGUUUCAGUCUUCCAGAGAUUUGAGACUAGGACAGAGACUCACCUUCCAGCAGGACAAUGACCCUAAACAUACUGCUAAAGCAACACUUGAUUGGUGUUAAGGCUCGACCAUAGAGUGCCCUUGGUUCUCUAUGGUGUUUAGGUCAGAGCAUGACUAGGGGUGUGUUCUAGUCAUUGUAUGUCUAUGUUGGUGUUUUGUGUCGUUCCCAAUUAGAGGCAGCUGGUAAUCGUUGCCUCUAAUUGGGGAUCAUAUUUAGGUAGCCUUUUUCCCACCUGUGUUUUGUGGGAUAUUGUUUGUGUUAGUGUGUUUGAGAACUACGUCGUCACGGUCUUUAAGUUUUGUUAUUUUGUUUCUAGUUUCAUUUUGUAAUUAAAGAUGUGGAACUCAAUUCACGCUGCGCCUUGGUCUGCUCAUUUCCAAGAUCGUGACAGUUGGUUUAUGGGGAAACAUUUAAAUGUCUUGGAAUGGCCUAGUCAAAACCCAGACCUCAAUCCAAUUGAGAAUCUGUGGUAUGACUUAAAGAUCACUGUACACCAGCGGAACCCAUCCAACUUGAAGGAGCAGGAGCAGUUUUGCCUUGAAGAAUGGGCAAAAAUCCCAGUGGCUAGAUGUGCCAAGCUUAUAGAGACAUACCCCAAGAGACUUGUAGCUGUAAUUGCUGCAAAAGGUGGCUCUACGAAGUAUUGACUUCGGGGGGUGAAUAGUUAUGCACGCUCAAAUGUUCUGUUUUUUAAACUGUUGCUUUAUCUGUGAAUGUACUUUAUUGCACACAAUCCUCAAAUAAAAUGGAGCAUACAUACAAUAAACAAUGUAUUUAUAUUCGGUCUAAUGUGUGUGUGUGUGAGGGAGGCAUGUUUUUCAAUUCAGAAAAAAGCACACAGCAUUCUCAAACUGUACACAGGUAACGGCUGUCUGAAGAGAGAGCAGACCAAGGUGCAGCGGAGUUAGUGUUCAUCUUCAGAAAUUUAUUAAUGA